rnacentral:rRNA from 1 species
GUCGAGCGGAUGAGAGGAGCUUGCUCCUCGAUUCAGCGGCGGACGGGUGAGUAAUGCCUAGGAAUCUGCCCAGUAGUGGGGGACAACGUUUCGAAAGGAACGCUAAUACCGCAUACGUCCUACGGGAGAAAGUGGGGGAUCUUCGGACCUCACGCUAUUGGAUGAGCCUAGGUCGGAUUAGCUAGUUGGUGGGGUAAAGGCCUACCAAGGCGACGAUCCGUAACUGGUCUGAGAGGAUGAUCAGUCACACUGGAACUGAGACACGGUCCAGACUCCUACGGGAGGCAGCAGUGGGGAAUAUUGGACAAUGGGCGAAAGCCUGAUCCAGCCAUGCCGCGUGUGUGAAGAAGGCCCUCGGGUCGUAAAGCACUUUAAGUUGGGAGGAAGGGCUUACAGCGAAUACCUGUGAGUUUUGACGUUACCAACAGAAUAAGCACCGGCUAACUUCGUGCCAGCAGCCGCGGUAAUACGAAGGGUGCAAGCGUUAAUCGGAAUUACUGGGCGUAAAGCGCGCGUAGGUGGCUUGAUAAGUUGGAUGUGAAAUCCCCGGGCUCAACCUGGGAACUGCAUCCAAAACUGUCUGGCUAGAGUGCGGUAGAGGGUAGUGGAAUUUCCAGUGUAGCGGUGAAAUGCGUAGAUAUUGGAAGGAACACCAGUGGCGAAGGCGACUACCUGGACUGAC